ACCUAGUUUUUGCGUGCGUAGGAACACUGAACUGUAGAAGUCGAGGUAUAUAUAAAGGAACUACUUCGACACGUAGGUUCUUGGGCGUCGGUCGAGUGUGCAGAAAGGUUGUGUAUUUGCUAUUACAAUAAACUUCCGUUUUAGGCACACAGCUGCUGUCUUCUGUACAGACUGGGUUACAUCGAAGCCUACAGACUCCGUACAGUCUCCCAAUUUGAGAAGGCAUGUCUACCCGCUGUCGACUCCGGGCUCAGGUGACAAGCCAUGACAAGACUGACCUGUCCCUGAGGAUCAUCAAUUUGGUUUGUAAUUGGUAGAGUUAGGGAUUGCCACAUUUCAGUUACAAAAGGUGAUUCAUAUUGAAUUCAUGCUUGUAAGCAACUCUGAAGCUUGUAAGACCUGCUUGCUGUUAAUAUUUAACAGUUUUGAAACAUUUUUUUAUUGUAUAUAGGUUUGGGUAUACAAUCCAGUUAACAUUUUUGUUGCAUGUUAACGAGGGUGUUUGUAAUAGCAGCUGAGGCUGAAGUGAAUAGAUUAUAAUUGGAUUGUAUAUUGUACACAAAUUUAAAGUGGCUUUUUGAUACUUGUUUGCAGUGAAAUGCAAAAUGUGGUAUGCGUAAAGUGUUCUGCCAGUAGAAACCAAAUGGAAAUAAAAUAACGAUAACAAAUGUUACAUGUUCAAUGUUCUUUGACAAUAACCAUGUGCCUAUUUUCCUUGCUACUAUUUUGUGGAAGGGGGGGGGUUUGUUGGGAAUGCAAAUUGGCCUAUUUGACAGAACCUGUUUGCUGCUAAUGCUGCUGCUGGAGUUGAUGCAUUGCUGUGACUGGUGCUCAAGAAUCUGUUGCAGAAGCUACCUGCACAUAUACCAUUGCCAUCAGGUCUGCUAGAGAUAAUGGAUUAAUGAAGCUAUGUUGAUUGGAUUGUGUGUUGUGUAGCUGAUUUGUUCGUCAUGCUGGUGCUUGAGGGUAUGGUGUGUUGGAGGCCUCUGGUGGGAAAGUGAAAUGACUCCAUUUCAGGGGGUACCUUAUUUUUACACUGCAUGUUUUCAUUUUGAAUUUUUCUAGUAUAAAAUAUAUUUACUUGUUUGUUUAUUCAAUGAAAUUCAUGUUCCAUACAUAUUAGUAAGCUGCAGCAAACGGUUUAGUUGGACGUUGUUUCUUCAGGUUUCCUGGUACUUGUGUCCAUCGUGCAUCAUUCUCGUCCCCAAGUUAACAGUUGUUGCUCUUCAGUGUUUCCGAUUGGAGUAUUGAAACAAGUUCUACAUGCUUACUGCUAUUUUCUCCAGUUUGGCCUGACUUACUUGGAGAGGUAGUUGAAUAUAUGAAAAGCAGAACGCUGAAAACAUCUUGUAAGUAAGCACUGAAUUGGAACUCUCUUGUUCUGAUAAGGGCUGAUUGAUUAGCAGUCCACAUAGUGGAUGCUACUUGUGUUCCAGAUUAUAAAUGCUGCUAAUGAUGUAUUAAUUCUCUAGUGGUUUAAAGUAACCGUGGUGUUUUAGAAUUUGAAAGUCUGGAUUGGUCAGGUUUUUUCCUGCAACAGUAAUUGCUAAGUUUCAGUUUAUUUGUAUUGCAGAUAUGCUCAUGGUGAUUAUUAUGGUAUUACAUUGUUUGGGUGGGGGGAUAGAAAUGCGUAUUGGAUAUAAUUUUUUUUAAAAGGCCUGUGUGCGUGUGGAGACAUCAUUUUGAAGGCAGUAAGAGGAGUAUCUAAAAGUACCCACAUAAUGUGAGCUGAAAUGGCACUUUGAAAUUUAAUAGGAUGGUUCCUAGUAGACAUGUUUGGGAGCUUGUGCAGAUAAAAGUCUUUUAUGUGCCAAAGGAUUUGUAGGCUUCAUCAUGGUAGGACGUAGAAUGUGUUUGCUUAGUAUUUGCCAGGAUGUUGUUGAGAAGGUGGUUUCCAUGGUGUUGGUGUGGGAGAAUGAUGGCAUCCUUCCUCUGGGCAGAUGGCUGCUGAUUGGAACUAGUUUCAGGUUGAUCAGUUUUCUUAUAUUAAUACAAUUUGAAGUUGCAAGCUGUAUAAAGUUCAUUACUACAGCAGUAGUAGUUUGGAUUUAACUUUGUCAAAGGAAGAAUUUUUAAUCUUUGUACAUUGUUGAACAACAUUUAACGAUAUUAUAAGUACUCGAUUGUUAAAUUUUAGACCACUAGUUGGAUCUUUCUCGCAUUCCUCGUUCAUGUCUUUAUCAGGUCUACUCUUACAUGCUGGUAAUGGAAGUGCCACAGGCUGCAGUGCUAUUGUUCGGAGCUUUAACCCCAUUAUCAAGCAAGCAAGGUACAGUCCCCACUGGUGCCAAUCAGUUUCAAGCAAGAAAUUGGAUUUGUCGUGCGGUUAAUAGUGGUGCACUUGCAGGACAUCGGAAAAGGGGUAUUUUUUUUGUCAUGUUUAGCACUGGCUUUGGUUUUCAAAUUUGGAUCAAGAGGAUGCCUUGUAACUAGGUAUUCUGUUUUGCUCUGAUUUAAAUAGAAUUAAUAUGUUUUGUACAUGAACGUGAAUAUCGAUUACUUGGAUGCAGUAGCCAAUCAUGUUUGUUGUACUACAUAGCCAAGUUUUGUCACGAAUUCUGAAUAUUGCUUAUUUUAUAGCUGAGAGUAGUUUGUACAUUGAACUUGGUGAAACAGAAAAAAACAUUGAGGUUUUUAUGUGAGAUUGUUCAUUGUGUUUAUUGCAUAACUUUUAAAGAAUUUUGACUGUUGGAAGUGCUGUCAUAGGGCGGGUGAAGAUUGAUGAUUGGGGUGGGUUAUGUGGGUCAAGAGAAGAGCUUUUGUUAUUUAUGCAGAGUCCUUGGCACCAUGGUCAGUAUGGAUAUGAAGAGUUCGUCCAGGAUGUGAAUGUCUGCGCUGGUUUGAGGUGGUCCCAUCCAACAUUUCGUAGUACAAUAGGGGAUAACUACUGUGCGGAGUACCUGGUUGCCAGUUGGACAGUUGAGUGGUAUCGAUUAUAUAAUUAGUGUUGCUAUAAGUAGCGUCUCAUAAAUUUAAUUAAGUAUUUCUUUGCUUUUUCUUUCAAAAAGUAAAUGAUGAUGUAUCUGAAAGCCUCUGCUUUGAAUGUUUCUCAAGUUAGUAUGGCUGAAGGGGGUUGACAGUUGCAUUGUAAGGUGCUACGCAAGACCGUAGGUAGUGCUCAUCUAGUUACUGUUUUGAACAGUGAAUUCGUGCUAAUUUCAACCUGGUUCACAGUUUGUUUACACGUACCACCCCCCCACACCUUAUGCACCUGCCCCACUUUUUCAAAUUGGUCUUGUUUGUGGGGAGAGGAAGGCUGUGUUUUGUGCUGUAGAGCUCAACUGGUGCCAUGCAGCGCUGCUUGGAGAAGUUAUUGCGUUUUUCCCUGCCUGCCUGUAAAGUAUGACGACUAAUUCUGCGAGUGUUUUCCUGUGAUGGGUAUUUCCUAUACUGCAUAUCAGAAGCUGUGCACCUAAUGAAAGGUUGACUUCAAGUGAGGUUUAGUAGAACAUUAGUAUUUUGUAGUAUAAGCAUUAUUAAUUGUUGUGGAAAUGUAUAUUUUAGUUUCUCUUGGUUAGGAAAGUAAGGAAUAAGUGUUGCUCACUGCACUUACAAGAUGUCCUGAAUCUGAGGCCGCAAGAAAAGUAAUUUUGCAAUAAAAAAAUAUAGAUUUAAAAUGGAAUUUCUAUUUCUUGUCAGGGUUUUUGAAAAAAUCUGGAAUGAGCUGUUAUGGUACUAACAAUGUUAGUAGUCUCAUAUUAGUGAUGCCAUGCUGACGUGAUUGCUAAAGUGGAGAUGGAGGAGAGAUGUACCACAGUGAACUUUGAAACUGGAAAACUGAUACAUGAAUGCGGGAACAUCGUAGCAAGUUAUUAAAGCUGGUGUAAAGAGUUUGGCAGUGUCAGAGCUUGUUGAAAGGCAGGAAAUCCCAGGUUUGAGAUUGGUAACCCUGUUAUGGUAACAUUUUGUGCUGUGCCGAGUAAAGAGUUCUUUGGCUCUGGAGUAUGAACACUAUUUUCUCAGUUUUCAGUCCUGUGAAGUCUGCUAAGGGAUGGCAUGCAAAUCUGUCUGGUAGAGGAUUCAAUACAUGACUGAUAAGUAAAAAAAGAAAAUUCUUUAUGUAUUUAUCUACUGAUCAUUUUAUUAUGUGUGGAGGAUACUUUUUUUUUCUUUUUUUUUUUGUAAGAAAUCAAUUCAGUUCCAUACAAGUAUUUAAUUAUCCUUUAUGAUUUCAAAAGUUUAGUUGUUCGACAUUGUUUCUUCAGGUUGAUGCCGAUAAUCAUCAUGGCAGGGGUUGAACGCGAUUAACAUACUAGUAAUUGAACAUCUCUCACGUCGGAGAAAAGAGUUGCUUGACUUGACCUGAUUUAUGAUUGUAGAGGUGAAUGGAUGAAAACAGGAAAGUUUUUAAUGAUUUGUAAGUAAGAAGUGAAAUAAGGUAACACUGUACAGAAACUCAGUAUCUUGUAUUGUACAUGGACAAUAGUGGGAAGGUUUUCGUAUUAUUACAAUAUAUGUUGUGAAUGGAAAGUUUCCAUUGCAUGAUGUGCGGUUUGGUGUUUAAUGAAGGGUUUGCAUCUGGUUAGAAAUGUAUUUCUAACUCUGCUAGUAAAAUCAAAGUAUAAGAGCAGCGUGAAUUCUGAAAAAUUGUAAAGGUUAUUAAAUUUUGAUUUUAUAGCAGUAAAUGUACGUUGAUAUCCUUAUUUAUAUGGACAAGUAUUUGUGGCUUGCUUUUCAUUCUAUAGCUUUUCCUGACCUGGUUGGAGGCAGAAAGUGUCCGCUUAUAAUUUGCCUGAAAGUGUACUUGGAGCAGAAAGUGGCGCUGUUUUCUGAGGCCAGAUACUUUGUGCAUGGAGUUAGAUUCAGGUUGACAAGUAUAACAUUUUCUAAUACAUUUCUUAUUUAGUAUUUUGUAUAUUCCCUAAGUAUGAGCUGCAAAGUUCUAAUCGUAAUCCUGUUUUGCUGUCCGCGGACUAAUUUGCUCACUUGGGCAGAGUUUGUUUGAAUGGUUGAAGAAUAGAGGUAGCAACAUUUGUGCUGUUUCUGCAUUCUAGCAUGUUGCUUGGUUCAUCUUUCUUUCACCAGGUCCACUCCAUAGUCAUGCUAACAUGCCUGCAAUGCAAUUGUUUGGAUAAUGGAUAUUAAUGCCUGUCGCGCAGCAUAGCGUCAUGGGUUCUUUAAUGUAAUCUGGAGCAAGGUGCUUGGAUGUGUCUUAGGAUUACAAUGCAGCUGCAGAACACUGGGACAUGAAGUGGGUAUUUUUUACUAUUGAGCAAAAGUAGCUGGUGUUCAGGUAAAGAGGAUGUCCUAGGAGAUUUUGCACAUUACUCUUGUUGAUUUUUUGGAAUUUUUUUUCUCCAAUAUUUGACAGCUAAGUUUAACAGAGUUCAGUGAAGUGAAACAUAUGUUUAAUGUCUUAUGAGUACAUUGACUUUUUUCCCCCCUACUGUAAAUGCAGCGUCUUGGAAACUUCUUCCCUCUUGUGCACAAGGGAACUAAUCUUGGUGUCCAUUUGAAAAGAGUAUUCUUUGAAUCACUGGAGUGAGCAUUUGCUGAUAAGGGUUGUUGGAUAGGGGAAACACUUUUCUGUUGAUGCAGGUACUUCGUCCAUAAAGAGAUUUUCUUUUGAGGGAAUUUUGAACCUUGGCAUCGCCUCAAGUCGUGGUGACUGCUGCCAGCAUAUCAUUGUGCUAUAGGGCUGCUGCUGUAUGGAUGCUGCAUCACGCAAGAUUUUGGUAUGAUUGGUUUGGUAGAAUGUAUUAAUUUGGUUUAAUGUUCAUUUGUAUUUGGUUAUUUCCAAGCUGAUAUCAUUUUUGUGCAACUGCAAGCGAUACAAGAUCAAAAUUACAUUUGUAGUUUACUAUAUCUGAAGAUGAAUCUCUUGUGACCUGUAGUUUUCUGUGCACAUGUAGCAAGUUGCUGUGCAAAACCGAAGGUAGUGCAUUUACAAUUAAAUAUCUUGUACAGUUUUGAAGUUCAACUGAAUCGUGCUGGUAUGCUGUUUCAGAUGAAUAGGAUGUGUUCUUUUCUCUUGCGUUUGUUUCCAGAUUGGCCGUGCUUGUGUGUGGAAAGGAAGCAUUCUUGCUUUUGAAACAGUAUCGAGUUCUUAACAGUAAGAAUUUUAUUAACUGCCAGAUAAGCACUUGGUGUUUUUGAAGUGGUUUUUAGUAGCAGCAGCAGCGUGUGUAUAUAUCUUCCAUUAGUCUAAUAUCUAGAAAACAUUUUAAUUUGUUGACACUGGACUGUGUGUGGAAAUGAGUCAUUAAUUGUCAGGAUGUAUGUGAUGUUUUUAUAGGUUACAUGCCCGGGGAUGUUUAUUGCGUUAUGCAAUUUAUAACUGAUUUUUCUUGUUGGGGAUUUGGAUCUGUGGGAGGGAGGGGGGAGAAUGGAAAUAUUGUUUUCCUUUCUACUUCAGAUUUGAACAAGGCUACAUGGAGUGUGCAGACCAAUUGUGCUGAUAUGAAACUCGUUUAAUCUGCAAAGAUCUGUAUUUGCCUUGCACAGUAAAUGAAGAUCUGAAUAGGUGUGAUUGAUUGAAGAAGAGGGGAAUACAUGUGAGUUUGAUAUAGUUUUACCGGUGAUGUUCCUUUACAUUUAAGGUAAAUGUGUUCUGAAAUCACUGUAGUCUCUCCUACAUCUGGAAAUAACUUCAAAAUCAACCUAGUAAUUGGAGUUUUGGAAGAUUUCAGUGCCAUGUGUUGGUAUGUAGAAACUUGUGUGCAGAUGGGCUUACAUGUGCUGUUGGUUUUGACUGCACAAUUAAGGUACGAAAAUUGUAUUUACAAGUAUAAUUUAUUAUAUGUAAUAUUUUCGUGGGGUACGUUUUUGCAACGAGCAAUUCGUGUGCAUUUCCAGUUAAUCAAUUGAUAUGGCUAGAUUGUUUACAAAUUUUAGGUAUAUAAAAUACCAAAGUGGCAUUUUGAACUCUUUGUUUUUUAUAUGGGAAUUCUUCGUCUGAGAAUGGGAAAUUUUGUGUUCUGCAGUGCGGUAGCAUAUUGAAAAGCUGGCCUUGGUAAUGGGGAAUUGGGGUAAAUUUAAUUUGCAUAGUUGGAUUAAAAAGUGCUUCAGAUGGGAUUUUGUAAGUUUUGGGGUAGGGGGAUGUAUAAAGCAUGAUUUUGUCUUGCCCACAGCUAGCAACGCGUAGAGCGCUGGGCAAGCAUAUGUUCUGAGCAGCAGCUGGCAAUGAAAUACGGACCUGGAUCCAGGAGUGACAAUUGUAAGACGUUUUCUUCUUUCAGGAUACUGGUUUAUAAUUUUUCACGUUUCCAUUAGUAGUAUGAAUAGGUGGAGCAGGUUUCUCAUUCAAGCAUUGCAGUAGCAUGUAUAGGUACCAUAUGAUCCAUAGGAACUGCUGUCGUCAGAAUGAGCAAAUGAUGUUUGUUUGAGGGAAGAUUGUUUUUCUUCACAUUUCCAGUGGUGUUGGUGACUGCUGUGGAAGUGGGAUUGAUUUCAUUUGACAAGCAUUGAGCAGUGAAUUCACUCUUCAUUGUGAAGGUGAACAACUGCUGCACAUUUUUCCUGCUUAUUGAUGGUGCAGAUUUUGGAAUUCCAAGAUUGCUUUUGCAGAUGUGGUAAAUGUAUGUGGCUGAUUGAGUACUUCACAAAGUUUUAGGGCUGUUAUCAUCUUCCCAUGCAGUUUGAGAGCUGACAGGCAAACAAUUAAUGUAAAGCAAUGAUCUAAUAUGCAGGAUUGUAAAGCAUAUUUAGUGGUAGCCGUUGACCAAUUAUUUGAACAUCAAAUUGAAAAUGUUUAUUGUUUUCCAGUAUUCAUGCAUCGAAUUGACUAUGAACAUCUCGUCUUAUUUUAUAUGAUUGUUUUACUUGGCUUGUUUUUCAAGACUUCCAGAUUCCAGUAUAUUAUUAAUUUGUUGCAUAUUUUGCAGUUAUUAAUUUUUGGGUUUUACCUCUUUGAUCUUUUUUGUGUAGGGUACAUUUUGUGCACCAGAAAAUGCAUGUUGAAGUUUGCAAGUUACUAUGUUGUGCAUAUGUAACAUAUUUAAACAGGGGAAAAAGUUUUUCAAAGGCUCUUGGAUGUUUAAAACGUCUUGAUUAUGUAAGCAACAGUUAUGUGCUGAGGAACCUGCAAAUCUGGGUAUAAAAUAUUUGGUAUGUUGUAAGUUUUUUUAUAAUUUUUAUACCAUCCUAAUGAGCAGGAUGUACUGUAUGUUGGUCGUUGCAACAAUCCACGUUUGGCAAAUAUGGAAAGGAAGCUUGGUGUUUUUCAUCUAAAUAUGUUAAUACUUGUGCAUGCCAAAGUUUUUGGUAUUUGUACAGUAUAAAUCUAUUUAAUUCUAUUAUUGGUGUUCGUAAUAUUGGUUCUAAUCUUGCUCGGUGAAGGUUCAAGAAUAUUGAAUGGGCAUGUGCAACUUUUUCAGAUGAUGCUUUACACUACCAAAAUGUUUUAGCACCCGAUCAUUUGGACUUCACGCGAAGUGUUAUAUAAGAGUUUAUGAAAGGUAAACAAAUUUGGAUUUAUGCUCAUUCAUUUGUAAGUCUGAAGUGUGAAAAUUCUUGAAAGCAUUUGCUGAAGGUAGGGAUUGCUUUGCUUCUUGAGGUAUGUUUCAAUGAUUCUUAUUUAGUGUCUUCUUGAGAAGGAAUGUGAUGAUCUUUUGGAAACACAUUUUGAUUCUUGGCUUCCUUCAAACUAUGAUCAGAGACAAGUUGCAGUGUGCAUUGCUAAAUCACAUGGAGAAUAAAUUCCACUGCAGUGUUUUUGGAAGUCAUUUCCUAUUGGCUGAUUUUGCACAUGUUUGAAAGAAGUACAUCUAAUUACCUGGAUUAUACAGAAUGUUGAUUUUAACAUGUAACACAAAAUUUGUAGUUCUAUAUGCUCAUUGCAACUGCUGUGACUUGUUUGGGGGGGAGCCUUUGGUUCAGUGUAUUGUUUGAUCAAUCUUCUUAGGUCUUGCGAGCAAAAAUUGCUAUUCGGUAUGAGUUUGGUAGCAAAUCAUUUCUGCUGUGCUAACAAGCUUUGUGUUGGGGAAACAUGAGAUAGAUGCAUUAGUCCCUCCCUGUAAAUGUCUCUGACAAAACUGAAUAGAUGACUUUUGCAUUAAGCUGGCAUUUUGGAGGCUUAAUAGUAUAUUGCUGUAGUUGCCAAGUGUUUUGAAUAGCCUUGUUUAUUGGGCAACUUUUAUGAAUGGUGGAAAGCUGGCAAUGUUUUGGAGCUACUUCUGAUUUGUCAUGGCAUGAACCUGUUUGCAAACAGCUGAUUGUCAAAAAGUUAUUGUUUUAUUGCGUGAAUUUGCAUAUGCUUUAGGCAAAUGUAAAAGUUCUUGUCUGAUAUUGUGAUUAAUCUUCUCAAAAAUGCAUUUGCAGUGAAGUAAUGCAUGAAUGAAUACAUCAUGUUCUUUUUGUGUGUAUUUAUAAUGUAACACCUAUGUUAAGUGUAGGUUUAAUACUUUUGAAGCGUGUUUUUUGUGGUGGUGUUAUGGGUAAUAUGUUAUUGACAAUUUUACAUUACUUUUUAAAGUUUGGUAGGUGCCAGUGUAAGUUCAGUUCCUCUUCCAACUUCUUUAGUUAUUUUAAAAUCUAUUGCAUGGUUUCCAGAUUUCCCAGCUUUGUGAGGUUCCUUUGUCAUUGUGUUGAAGUAUGGAGUCUGAAUACAUAUUCAUUUAUCCUACAAAUUCAGUGUGUGUUGAAUUGCACAUAUUUUCCAAGAUAUUGUACUUUCAAUCUUCCUGCAACUUUGUAAUGGUGGUUAUGUAUGAAAACUGCUAAGUCAUUUUGACAUGUUGUUAUUCUACAUUAGAAUUGCAUUGUGUGUGUGUGUGUAAUGUAAGGCAAGCAGCUUCCCAUCACAUUGAAAUCACUGCCUUGGUCUUCACGAGGGCUUGUGUAUGACUGGUUCUUGUAAUGCCUUCUUUAGAAUACAUGCUGUUGAGUUUCAUUAACAGUUGAUGCUUAGUUGCAGAAGUACUGGACAAACUAAUUUUGGUUUGACAGUGUUCCAUUUUAAAAUUUCUUGGCUUCAGGUACCAGCUUUGUGAUGGAAAACCGAAAGUGUAGCAUAAAAGGUUAUUUUUCUUUGGCUGAUUUCAUUGUAAUUGUAGCAGAGUGCAACUGGUGAUGGGUGCAUUGCCUGCCCAUUAUUCUGUAAAGUGAAUGUUGAAGGUUUUAAUCAGGAAUAUCUUUUGGCGGAAGUUCUGUGUAUAGUAUUCACCAGCUUUCAUGGCAUAGUGUGUUAAUGACUGCAGAAUAUUGUGUUUGAAAGUAAUUUUCAGCAAAUUGAAUAUCACUUUGCCUGUGUUUAUUUUUCUUUAUGUAGAUGUGUGUUGUGUAAUAUGUCCAUGUGGAGACUGCUGUGUCCCCCUAGUCUACAUCUUGAUGUCACCCCCAUGCUUGUACCUUUGUCCUUAUAUAGACUUCGAGUGCAUGCCUUCAAACGAUUUGCUCUCCCAUGUUACCCAGGUGGGAAUCUGCAGCAUACCUCAUCACUAUGGAAGUUUGAUGUUCCUUAUUCCUUGUACCUUCCUGAUGGAUCUACAUUUUUCCUAAUGUCCUAGAUAGGGAUGUGUGUAUUGCAGUGAGCUGGCAUGCAUCACCCUGCUCUUAUCCUUUGUUCCAUCCCGAAGUGUACCUCUUAAAUUGUCCCUCAUUCCGUAUUGGAGUGGAUUUACAUUUUACCCGGCACCACCAUCGAAGUGAGAGUCAUGAGCCUGGCCCGGCACUGUUAUCCCAGCAGGACCAUAGUCCCAGUCAGGAUAUGCACUAUCAUACCAGCAUUGAUAGAGUUGUUCCUUAGGCCAUCCCAGUUGGGGUCUCCAUCAUCGCAUGUCAUUUCAGUGGGGGUCAGCAUUGUCCUCUGGAUGGGAUCAUUGUUCCAUCUGGGUGCUGGGACGUCUGUUUUCUGUCGGUGUCUGGUCUGCUUCACACCAUAUAUGGGUGAGGGUCCGAAUUGCCCAUCGCGCUGUUGACUGGGUCCAGAUUGCCUAUCGCGGCAUUGGGUGUAGGGCUGCAUUGCGGUUCUGCAUCGCCCAUCCCACCAUUCGGAUGCUACGGGUCUGGAUUGCCCAUCGCGCCAUCUCGAUGCGGUUCUGGAUUGCCCAUCUUGCCGUCUGGGUAUUCGGGUCAGGAUCGCCCAUCGCGCUGUCUGGGUGUAUGGGUCUGGAUCGUCUCUUGCCUUCUGAGUAUUCGGGUCAGGAUCGCCCAUUGUCUGGGUGUAUGGGUCUGGAUCGUCUCUCGCCUUCUGAGUAUUCGGGUCAGGAUCGCCCAUCGCGCCAUCUAGAUGCAGAUGUGGAUUGCCCAUCUCGCCGUCUCGGUAUUCAAGUCAGGAUCGCCCAUCGUGCCAUCUGGGUGUACGGGUCUUUAUCCCCUAUUGCGCCAUCCAGAUGGAGGUCAGCAUCCCCUAUCGUGACAUCUAGUCACCAGUCUCGCUAUUCAGGUGCAGUCUGGAUUGCCUGUCGCGCCAUUAGAGUGUGAUUUGGAUCCUGCAUAUCAUCAGAAUCUAGUUCCACAGUUUGUUGAGCCAUCAGAUAACAGGUCUACAUCCUUCUUGCCAAAAGCUUGUCUGCCCCAUCAAUCAUGCCAUCCCAGUGACUGCAUUCUGCCUCACAUCAUCACUUGCCUCUGCAUUAUAUCUGGCAUGUCUUGGAUCGUGUCAUCUUGUAUCUGCAUCAUACCUCAACCAUCUCUCGCCUCCACGCCUUGUGCCAUCUCUUGCAUCAGCAUCAUGUCUCUUACCAUGUGUGGUGUCUUAUGUUUCUCCUCCUCACUCCAUUGUUGGAUCUGCUUCAUCCCAUCGUCUUGGAGGAAUAAUGUGGAACGUGGUUUUUGAAGAAGAGAAGUAUGCAAGAAUAUUUUAUUUCACAAGAUACACCUGCUUUUGCCUCCAGACAGCAAGAUGUAAUUUUGAAUGAAAACGGUACCAGUAUGAAAAUACAACAGUCCAUUCAUGGGAUACCUCGGAUGACACAAGAAUUAAACUGAAGUCAUGCAGAUAAUUUUAUUAUGCUAUUUUAAAAUUUUAAAAAUGUCGGUGUACAGAUUGAUUUAAAGGAUUACAUUGUCUCUUUGCGUGGAAAUUAUACAUACUGGUGCAUUUUAAUGGAGAUGCUUCAUACAUUCCAGGAAAUACCAUUUAAUGUUUCGAUGAAAUUUUAGGAAGCACAAAUGCCAUCUUGGAGAAAACCAUCACUAUAGAAAUUUCAAGAAGUAAGAAAUUCAUAUUGUUAACAAUACAGUUGUUCGAAUAUCUCCCCAGAGUGAUGUGUAUGAGAUGAGUGGGUAUUUAGUACACAUGGUGCAAUGUGUUCUGUGUGCACAUCUAAUGGGAUUGCAGUAUUGAGACUUUUUUAUUGUAAAAUUUGUGAGAAAUGGAAGAAAUCCUGCAGGAGAAAAAAUUGCAUUUAAUUUUUGUCAUAUUUCAUCCAUAGUGAACGCCUGUGAAGUUUUAUAGCCUCAUUAGUGGUUUUUGAAGCCAAUUUUGUUUGGUAUGCAAGAUCAAAGUAGUUUGUAAUGUCUUGACCAUAUUUAUCUGAUUUUAUGUAUCUUGGCAAAAAAUGUAUAUUGUAUUGAGAAGUGAAAGACUUCAAAUGUGAAGAAAAAAUGUUUUUUAACAAUGAAGAAUGAAAAUGGAUAAGACCAAAGUGAAUUAAAUUCAAGGAGAGUACUUUUUCAGAGUACUUAGGUUUAAAAUAAUUCAGUACAAGAUGCAUAGAGAUUAGAAACAAGCACAAACUCGUUAUUAUUGGUGGAUUAUUACCAAGUGAGCAAGCUAAUAUAUUCAAAAGUUGGUUGUGCAGCUGAAGUUCUGAUGUUAUUUGAAGUCUUUAAAUUUAGGUAAUGUAGAUCAAAUCUUGAUGUAAAUUUUGUUGCAUUUAAAUAUUGUGGAUUGGCAGGCAUGUUAAUUAUGUUCUAUUACAUAUGCCAGAUAAUAUGGAGUUUACAGAAGUAUAUUCACAGCAAUUUUUUACUUCCAUGAAUGAUUUAGGAUGUACAAGGUGUGUGUUGCUAAUGUAACAGAAUUGGCUUCUUGUGCAGCAGUUCAUAUCUGCUUUACAAAACUUUUUUAUGUAUCUAGCAAGGAAUAUUAUGACUUCUAGACUGAAAUUGACUGGCAUUGACCUACAAAAGAGGCCGUGCUUUCUACAAUUACCAUCUGGAUGUAGAAUUUGUUAGAAGUUUGAUAUGAUGGGGACCUGCUUUACUAUAAUAAAAUUACCAUCUGGGGGGAGAAUCAUGCUAAAAUUUUGAUAUUGCUAUGGUGUGUUUAUACAAGCGCACAGAAGAUUGAAUGUAACAAGUUAUAUAUCUAACAAACGGACAAGAUCUAGUGGAACAACACUGCAGAGGAUCAGUAUAAAGGAUGAUUACUUGAGAAGAUGGGUUAUCAUAGAACAUACAUGAGAAGAAGGAUUUCCUGUGGAUCUACACAAGAAAGGGGUAUCCAGGUGAUGUACAUGGAAGAGGAUGGACUUCAAGGGUGUCAGAACAGAAGAGUGAUUUUCAGGAUGUUUGCAUGGAAGGUGAGGGGUUUCCUGUUUUUGAAGUAGGCCAAGUUCUAGAUGAGAUUUUAAGGGGGUCAGCAUGGAAGAGGCAGGAUUGCCUAUGGAUCUGCAUCAGAAGAGGAUGGAGUUCUAGGGUGUCAUUGCAGAAGAAAUGGAUUUUAGGGUAUUGACAGAAGAGGAAUUUCCAUGGUGUGACUGCAGAAGAGGAUGAAUUUCAGGGUAUCGAUGCAGAAGAGGAGGGACUUCCGGGGUGAUGGCAUAGAAGAGGAGGACAUCUGGGGUAUGGGAACAUAAGAAGAGAUCCGGGGUAUAGGAGUAGAAGACAAGGGACGUCUGGGGUGUCGGAGCAGAAGAGGAGGGCCGUCCGGGGUGUCGGAGGGGAGGAAUGGAUUGCCAGAAGUCAGCACAGAAGAAAGGUAUUCGGGGUUUUGGCACAAAGAAGAGGAAUUUCCUGGGAACAAGCAGAAGAGGAGAUUGGGUUUCCAGCAUCUUGAGUAAUGGAUGGAAUAAAACGGAUUUACAGGGGAUCAGUGUAAAAGAGGGUAGUAUUUUCAGAGUAUUGGUGAAUAAGUUAGAUUUAUAACAGAUCGGCACAAAAGAGGAGGGAUUUUAGCCUGGUAUUCAUAUUGUGGUGCAGAUCAAUGAAGAUGCAAUUUUUUCUCUUUCUGUGUCUGAAUAGGAUAAGGUGUUCUCCAGCAUAAUGGCAAAGUUCAUGCAGGCCUAUAUGUACCAAGAAGUGGAAGGUGAGGGUUUCAUUCAAGAGGUGGCCAAGAAAAAGGCCUUAUAUUUGGAUAAUCAGGCUCUUACUGACAUUGAUACUUCUUCUGGAACUACUUUGUAGGUUGACACUAUAUCGUUUGAGUUCCCAAAAAAGUGUUACUACAGAACUUUAAAUGAUAGAACGAAUUUUCAGGCUGAGGAUGAAGAUAACCUGACGUAGCAGGUAGCACAAGAAUAAUUGAUUAUACUUGAUCACUGGGAAAGCUUCAGGUCAUUCAUAAUACUUUCUAGGGAAUUGGCAAACAAAAUGUGGAGGGUAUUUUGUUCUAGGGGGUCAAUUUAAUCUGUCUUCAAUUUUACUUUUUAGAACCUGUGACAAAUUGUAUUCAAAAUUCUUUUUUGUGGGUGGAUCGGCUGGCUAUAAGGGGUGAUGUGGAGGCCAGUUAAAAUAUUAAAUAAAAUGUAUCUAAAUAGUGUUGUCAUUGUUUAUAUACUUUUGCUAUUGUUUUGUUGAAUUUAUCCUGCUGCUUUGUAUACAAUGAUUUGUUUGAACCAUUAGUGUUCGUGCUGUCAGCAUUUUAACAUUUUUUUAAGUUUGCUCUGUGAAAGUGGGAUGGACCUCCAUUUUGCUGUUUUAGAGCAAAUUAAUAUCACCUUUUCUGUUUAUACAGAUGUACCCCAACCUCUGGAGUUUUAAGUUUGUUUUGUUUGAUUUUUUGGUUUAUUUGAUGAAUAGCUAAAUUAAGUUAUUUAUAGAGCAUAAAUAGGAUUCUUCAAUGGCCAAAAUAAAUUUGAUUUAUGUACUGUUGGGUUAGGCAGUGAUACUGAAGGAUAGAGUUUAGGGAAACUGAAUAAGGGAGGGAAGGUGUCCCAAUUGGAAGAAUUUGGAGAGAGAAUGAAGGCCUGCAGCUACAGAUUGUGAGGUUUGGUUGUCCUGCUGCCUUAUUUGUUUUUCCUAUUGAGUAACAUUUGUGAUUGUGGACUAACAAGUUUUGGUGGUUUGUCAUGUCUGUUGAAACUAGCUGAAGCAGGACCUGCCUCUUAAUAUAUUUUUAAAGUAAAAUAAAUUCCUAGUAAUAUGUAUCAGUAUUUGAUUGUUUCCCAAAGGCAAGUGUAACAAUAAAGUACAUUUAUAUUUUGUAUUUA